UACGUAGGUGACAAGCGUUGUCCGGAUUUACUGGGCGUAAAGGGCGCGCAGGCGGUCGUUCAAGUCGAGUGUGAAAGCCCCCGGCUCAACUGGGGAGGGUCACUCGAUACUGAUCGACUCGAAGGCAGGAGAGGGAAGUGGAAUUCCCGGUGUAGUGGUGAAAUGCGUAGAUAUCGGGAGGAACACCAGUGGCGAAGGCGACUACCUGGCCUGUUCUUGACGCUGAGGCGCGAAAGCUAGGGGAGCAAACGGG
rnacentral:rRNA from 1 species